rnacentral:rRNA from 1 species
GUCGAACGAUGAUUUUUGUGCUUGCACAAUUUGAUUAGUGGCGAACGGGUGAGUAACACGUGAGUAACCUGCCCUUGACUCUGGGAUAAGCCUGGGAAACUGGGUCUAAUACUGGAUAUGCACCGUAAACCGCAUGGUUUUUGGUGGAAAGAAUUUUGGUCAAGGAUGGACUCGCGGCCUAUCAGCUUGUUGGUGAGGUAAUGGCUCACCAAGGCGACGACGGGUAGCCGGCCUGAGAGGGUGACCGGCCACACUGGGACUGAGACACGGCCCAGACUCCUACGGGAGGCAGCAGUGGGGAAUAUUGCACAAUGGGCGCAAGCCUGAUGCAGCGACGCCGCGUGAGGGAUGACGGCCUUCGGGUUGUAAACCUCUUUCAGUAGGGAAGAAGCGAAAGUGACGGUACCUGCAGAAGAAGCGCCGGCUAACUACGUGCCAGCAGCCGCGGUAAUACGUAGGGCGCAAGCGUUAUCCGGAAUUAUUGGGCGUAAAGAGCUCGUAGGCGGUUUGUCGCGUCUAUCGUGAAAGUCCGAGGCUCAACCUCGGAUCUGCGGUGGGUACGGGCAGACUAAAGUGAUGUAGGGGAGACUGGAAUUCCUGGUGUAGCGGUGAAAUGCGCAGAUAUCAGGAAGAACACCGAUGGCGAAAGCAGGUCUCUGGGCAUUAA